AAAAGAUUUUAUCUUGGUUAAAAAAUUGGAUAUUAUUCAAUGCUAUAUGCAAGCUUUAAAUUUCUAAUAAAUUUAAAUAAUUUUUAAAAUAAAAUUGCAGUAAAUAAUAUUAGUUAAUUUAAUAAUUUAAGAACUAGGGAUUAUAUUAAAUAUUAACAAAGUUUGUGCCAGCAGUUGCGGUUAUACAAACAAUAUAAUUUAAUUUUUUUAAUAUAAAUUAGUUUGUUAAAAAAAAAUUUUAUUUUAAAAAUUAUUAAGUGAAAUUUUAAUUUUUAUUUUAAAUUGUAUAUUUAAAUUGAUUUUAUAAAUUUAAAUUUUAGACUAGGAUUAGAUACCCUAUUAUUUUGAAUGUAAAUAAAAAUAUUAAAUUAGUAAUAGUUAAGUUCUUGAAAUUUAAAAGAUUUGGCGGUAUUUUAGACUUUUCAGAGGAACUUGUCCUAUAAUUGAUAAUCCACGAUUAAAAUUACUUUUUUUUAUUAGUUUGUAUAUCGUCGUUAUUGAAAAUUUUUUAAAAAUUAUUAAUUUUCAAAGUUUUUAAUUUAAAAAUAAAUCAGAUCAAGAUGUAGUUUAUAAAAAAGUAGAGAUGAGUUACAUUUAAUUAUUUUAUAAGGAUAUUUAUUUUUAAAGUAAAUUGAAUUUGGAUUUGAAAGUAAUUUGAAUAAAUUAAUUUAAAUGAUUUAGCUCUAAAAUAUGUACAUAUCGCCCGUCGCUUUCAUUAUAAAAUGAAAUAAGUCGUAACAAAGUAGAUUUAUUGGAAAAUG
rnacentral:ncRNA from 1 species